CAGCGGCGGACGGGUGAGUAACACGUGGGCAAUCUACCUUGGAGACUGGAAUAACGCCUGGAAACGGGUGCUAAUGCCAGAUAGGCAAUCACGCGGCAUCGCGAGAUUGGGAAAGGCGCAAUUGUGCCGCUCAAAGAGGAGCCCGCGGCGCAUUAGCUAGUUGGUGGGGUAAAGGCCUACCAAGGCGACGAUGCGUAGCCGACCUGAGAGGGUGACCGGCCACACUGGGACUGAGACACGGCCCAGACUCCUACGGGAGGCAGCAGUAGGGAAUCUUCCGCAAUGGGCGAAAGCCUGACGGAGCAACGCCGCGUGAGCGAGGAAGGCCUUCGGGUUGUAAAGCUCAGUCAUUCGGGAAGAGCGGCUGUGAGAGUGGACUGUUCACAGCGAGACGGUACCGAAAGAGGAAGCCCCGGCUAACUACGUGCCAGCAGCCGCGGUAAUACGUAGGGGGCAAGCGUUGUCCGGAAUCACUGGGCGUAAAGCGUGCGUAGGCGGUUUGUUAAGUCUGGAGUGAAAGUCCAAGGCUCAACCUUGGGAUUGCUUUGGAAACUGGCAGACUUGAGUACUGGAGAGGCAAGGGGAAUUCCACGUGUAGCGGUGAAAUGCGUA
rnacentral:rRNA from 1 species